rnacentral:tRNA from 2 species
GCCCCUGUAGCUCAGCGGUAGAGCGCGUGCAUGGUAAGCACGAGGUCACGAGUUCAAUCCUCGUCGGGGGCU